rnacentral:rRNA from 1 species
AAUAGAUACCCCGGUAGUCCACGCCGUAAACGAUGAGUGCUAAGUGUUAGGGGGUUUCCGCCCCUUAGUGCUGCAGCUAACGCAUUAAGCACUCCGCCUGGGGAGUACGGUCGCAAGACUGAAACUCAAAGGAAUUGACGGGGGCCCGCACAAGCGGUGGAGCAUGUGGUUUAAUUCGAAGCAACGCGAAGAACCUUACCAGGUCUUGACAUCCCGUUGACCACUGUAGAGAUAUAGUUUCCCCUUCGGGGGCAACGGUGACAGGUGGUGCAUGGUUGUCGUCAGCUCGUGUCGUGAGAUGUUGGGUUAAGUCCCGCAACGAGCGCAACCCUUGAUCUUAGUUGCCAUCAUUUAGUUGGGCACUCUAAGGUGACUGCCGGUGACAAACCGGAGGAAGGUGGGGAUGACGUCAAAGUCAUCAUGCCCCUUAUGACCUGGGCUACACACGUGCUACAAUGGACGAUACAAACGGUUGCCAACUCGCGAGAGGGAGCUAAUCCGAUAAAGUCGUUCUCAGUUCGGAUUGUAGG